rnacentral:rRNA from 1 species
CNCNGGUNGANGAUGUGGAUUAUUCGAUGCAACGCGAAAAACCUUACCUACCCUUGACAUGUCUGGAAUCCUGAAGAGAUUUGGGAGUGCUCGCAAGAGAACCGGAACACAGGUGCUGCAUGGCUGUCGUCAGCUCGUGUCGUGAGAUGUUGGGUUAAGUCCCGCAACGAGCGCAACCCUUGUCAUUAGUUGCUACGAAAGGGCACUCUAAUGAGACUGCCGGUGACAAACCGGAGGAAGGUGGGGAUGACGUCAAGUCCUCAUGGCCCUUAUGGGUAGGGCUUCACACGUCAUACAAUGGUCGGGACAGAGGGUCGCCAACCCGCGAGGGGGAGCCAAUCCCAGAAACCCGAUCGUAGUCCGGAUCGCAGUCUGCAACUCGACUGCGUGAAGUCGGAAUCGCUAGUAAUCGCGGAUCAGCAUGUCGCGGUGAAUACGUCCCCGGGCCUGAACGCGCUCUCUCCUCCGGUGCCCUUCGAGGGGGCAGGAGAGACCGGCUAACAAUUGGGGGCUCGUCCGGGAUUGAUCACCCGGGAGCGGAGGGAGGAAAAAAGA